CGAUACUCAUAGCUACGUCUCUAUUUAAAAAUCUGAUCACAGUUUCUUUGGAGAAAAAAUUUAAAAAUUCCUUUUAUACAAGAAAAGUCAUUAGUUAUGUAUUUUUUAUAUAAAAUUGUUUUUAUUAUUAGAUUUGACAGAUUAGAAAUAGUUAAAUUUCAAAAAUGAAAGGCUCAGGACUGUAAUUAGAGUAGCCGCCAUAUUUAACAAGAUGGUGGAUCAAAAUAGAAAAAUUUUCACAAAUGUCUUCAGCGAUCCCUUUAAAUGCAAUUUGAUUUGAUCCGAAUGAGACAGGUGAAUUAUAAAAAAUUGUUAUACACUAAUUUGAAUGGAUAUCAUAUUUUUUUAAAAUGAUGGACAUAAAUAAAAAAUUUCCUUUUUUUUCAAAAAUUAUUAAUGUAACGUAUAUCUACAAGAAUGCAAUUUCAUAAGCCUUCUUCCAUUCUGACAAUAAGUUAAGAACUAUCUACUCUAUUUUUAUAAAAAAAGUAUCUUCAAAGUAAUAGCGCGGUUAAAAUGCAUUUAAGAAGCUUCACUUUAAAGUUAAAUUAAAUGAAAGCAUUUUGCUGCUAGAAAUCACUAGCAUAUUAUACAUGUGGCCGAACUCAGCAUUAGAAAAGUGAAAUUUCAGAGAUGCUAGAGAGGAAAAUUCACUUCAUGUCUUAUGAAUAUGGUAGGAUAAGAAGAACAUCUCUCCGAAAUCACGAAAUUUUAAUCUCGCUUUACAAUAGUGACUUUUACGUACACUUCAGAAAUUUUGUUACCAAGUACUUUAUUUUUGUUUGGAGCUCAUUUUAUGAAUUGUUUCAAAAGUAUUUAAUUAAAUACAAUAGUAUCUUAUAAAAAUUGGCUUUGACAAUGCAAAUUAUGAAAACACGCAAAUUUUAAUGGAUGAUAUAAUUUAUUUAUUUUACAUAUAUUGUAUAUCUAUCCGUAAACAAACA
rnacentral:lncRNA from 1 species